UACGUAGGGCGCAAGCGUUGUCCGGAAUUAUUGGGCGUAAAGAGCUCGUAGGCGGUUGUGCGUGUGCGUGAAGAACCCCGGGGGCUCAACCCCCGGGGUCUGCAGUGGGUACGGGCAGACUAGAGUGCAGUAGGGGAGACUGGAAUUCCUGGUGUAGCGGUGAAAUGCGCAGAUAUCAGGAGGAACACCGAUGGCGAAGGCAGGUCUCUGGGCUGUUACUGACGCUGAGGAGCGAAAGCAUGGGGAGCGAACGGAUUAGAUACCCGCGUAGUCC
rnacentral:rRNA from 1 species